rnacentral:rRNA from 1 species
UGAGCAAUCUGCCCUUCACAUCGGAAUAACCAUUGGAAACGAUGGCUAAUACCGAAUAUGUCUUCGGAUCGCAUGAUCUGAAGUGGAAAGCUCCGGCGGUGAAGGAUGAGCUCGCGGCCUAUCAGCUUGUUGGUGAGGUAAUAGCUCACCAAGGCGAUGACGGGUAGCCGGCCUGAGAGGGUGACCGGCCACACUGGGACUGAGACACCGGCA